GAUGAACGCUAGCGGCAGGCCUAGCACAUGCAAGUCGAGGGGUAGAAGUUGCUUGCAACUUUGAGACCGGCGCACGGGUGCGUAACGCGUAUGCAAUCUGCCUUGUACUGAGGGAUAGCCCAGAGAAAUUUGGAUUAAUACCUCAUAGCAUUAUGAUGUGGCAUCACAUUAUAAUUAAAGUUCCAACGGUACAAGAUGAGCAUGCGUCCCAUUAGUUAGUUGGUAAGGUAACGGCUUACCAAGACGAUGAUGGGUAGGGGUCCUGAGAGGGACAUCCCCCACACGGGUACUGAGACACGGACCAGACUCCUACGGGAGGCAGCAGUGAGGAAUAUUGGGCAAUGGGCGCAAGCCUGACCCAGCCAUGCCGCGCGCAGGAUGACGCAUCUAUGGUGUGUAAACUGCUUUUGUACAGGAAGAAACACUCCCUCGUGAGGGAGCUUGACGGUACUGUAAGAAUAAGGAUCGGCUAACUCCGUGCCAGCAGCCGCCGUAA
rnacentral:rRNA from 1 species